rnacentral:rRNA from 1 species
UGGGGAAUAUUGCACAAUGGGCGCAAGCCUGAUGCAGCCAUGCUGCGUGUAUGAAGAAGGCCUUCGGGUUGUAAAGUACUUUCAGUCGGGAGGAAGGUGGUAAGGUUAAUAACCUUAUCAAUUGACGUUACCGACAGAAGAAGCACCGGCUAACUCCGUGCCAGCAGCCGCGGUAAUACGGAGGGUGCAAGCGUUAAUCGGAAUUACUGGGCGUAAAGCGCACGCAGGCGGUUGAUUGAAUCAGAUGUGAAAUCCCCGGGCUUAACCCGGGAAUUGCAUCUGAUACUGGUCAGCUAGAGUCUUGUAGAGGGGGGUAGAAUUCCAUGUGUAGCGGUGAAAUGCGUAGAGAUGUGGAGGAAUACCGGUGGCGAAGGCGGCCCCCUGGACAAAGACUGACGCUCAGGUGCGAAAGCGUGGGGAGCAAACAGG